UUGGAGGGCAAGUCUGGUGCCAGCAGCCGCGGUAAUUCCAGCUCCAAUAGCGUAUAUUAAAGUUGUUGCAGUUAAAAAGCUCGUAGUUGAACUUCGGGGUUUACCCAUUGGUCAGGCUUAAUUGUCUGUACUGGUGAGAUGAAUCUCUACCUUCUGAGGAACUUUCAUGCCAUUUAUUUGGUGUGAUGGGAAAUCAGGACUGUUACUUUGAAAAAAUUAGAGUGUUUAAAGCAGGCUAACGUCUGAAUAUAUUAGCAUGGAAUAAUGAAAUAGGACGGACUGAUUCUAUUUCGUUGGUUUCUAGGAUCACCGUAAUGAUUAAUAGGGAUAGUUGGGGGCAUUAGUAUUCAAUUGUCAGAGGUGAAAUUCUUGGAUUUAUUGAAGACUGACUACUGCGAAAGCAUUUGCCAAGGAUGUUUUCAUUAAUCAAGAACGAAAGUUAGGGGAUCGAAGACGAUCAGAUACCGUCGUAGUCUUAACCAUAAACUAUGCCGACUAGGGAUCGGACGAAGUUAAUUUUAUAAUGACGCGUUCGGCGCCUUACGGGAAAC
rnacentral:rRNA from 1 species